rnacentral:tRNA from 1 species
GAUUAAAUGGCUGAAGUUUAGGCGUUAGAUUGUAAAUCUAUUCAUGGGAAUUUAUCUCUUUAAUCA